rnacentral:rRNA from 1 species
UACGUAGGUGGCAAGCGUUGUCCGGAUUUAUUGGGUUUAAAGGGUGCGUAGGCGGCUUUGUAAGUCAGUGGUGAAAUAUGGCAGCUCAACUGUCAAGGUGCCAUUGAUACUGCGGAGCUUGAGUACAGAUGAGGUAGGCGGAAUUGACGGUGUAGCGGUGAAAUGCUUAGAUAUCGUCAAGAACACCUAUAGCGAAGGCAGCUUACUAGGCUGUAACUGACGCUGAGGCACGAAAGUGUGGGGAGUCAAACAGG